rnacentral:rRNA from 1 species
CGGAGGGUGCAAGCGUUAUCCGGAUUCGACUGGGUUUAAAGGGUGCGUAGGUGGGUCUGUAAGUCCGUGGUGAAAUCUCCGAGCUUAACUUGGAAACUGCCAUGGAUACUAUAGAUCUUGAAUACUGUGGAGGUCAGCGGAAUAUGUCAUGUAGCGGUGAAAUGCUUAGAUAUGACAUAGAACACCAAUUGCGAAGGCAGCUGGCUACACAAAUAUUGACACUGAGGCACGAAAGCGUGGGGAUCAAACAGGAUUAGAUACCCUGGUAGUCCACGCCCUAAACUAUGGAUACUCGACAUACGCGAUACACUGUGUGUGUCUGAGCGAAAGCAUUAAGUAUCCCACCUGGGAAGUACGAUCGCAAGAUUG